UCAAGUAUCAAGAGGCACAACAAAGUCAGUAUCAACAGCCUGCGAGACAAUAUCCUAAUCAGCCUCAACACCCGUCUAAACUUUUGAAGGGAAUAGGAAGAGGAGACAUGUUGAUCCAUCAGAACAAAUAUGUUGAUCCUUCUCAUAUAAAUGGAUUAUCCGCAGCUUCAGGAAGCCAACCUGUUGAGAAAGGUGAUCAAACCAUGCACCGCAACUCAGCCAUCAACCCCUCAUCGCAACUAUUCCCAUAG